rnacentral:rRNA from 1 species
UACAGAGGUCUCAAGCGUUGUUCGGAUUCAUUGGGCGUAAAGGGUGCGUAGGCGGCGCGGUAAGUCGGGUGUGAAAUCUUGGAGCUUAACUCCGAAACUGCAUUCGAUACUGCCGUGCUUGAGGACUGGAGAGGAGACUGGAAUUUACGGUGUAGCGGUGAAAUGCGUAGAUAUCGUAAGGAAGACCAGUGGCGAAGGCGGGUCUCUGGACAGUUCCUGACGCUGAGGCACGAAGACCAGGGGGAGCAAACGGG